AGAGUUUGUAGUCCUGGCUCAGGAUGAACGCUGGCGGCGUGCCUAACACAUGCAAGUCGAACGGACUCAUACUGAAACCUAGUGAUUUAUGAGUUAGUGGCGGACGGGUGAGUAACGCGUGGAUAACCUGCCGUAUACCGGGGGAUAACACUUAGAAAUAGGUGCUAAUACCGCAUGAGCGCACAGCCCCGCAUGGAGCGGUGUGAAAAACUCCGGUGGUAUACGAUGGAUCCGCGUCUGAUUAGCCAGUUGGCGGGGUAACGGCCACCAAAGCGACGAUCAGUAGCCGGCCUGAGAGGGUGAACGGCCACAUUGGGACUGAGACACGGCCCAGACUCCUACGGGAGGCAGCAGUGGGGAAUAUUGCACAAUGGGGGGAAACCCUGAUGCAGCGACGCCGCGUGAGUGAAGAAGUAUCUCGGUAUGUAAAGCUCUAUCAGCAGGAAAGAUAAUGACGGUACCUGACUAAGAAGCCCCGGCUAACUACGUG
rnacentral:rRNA from 1 species